ACUGAUCCAACAGAAAUCCCACAUUGAGCGUAGUUGAUAUGCGGCUACGGCUGGCCGAUCAUAUCAUUCCAUAAAAAAAAUCUAUAUGUAUAGAGAGAUCCCCUAGAUAUACAGAUAGAAUAGAUGUUCAUGGAUAGACAGACAUUCCAUUGAUUCUGAGUUUUUGGGCUGAAAAAGCUCGUCGAUCCAAAUGAAUCAUUCUUCUGGUCUCUCUUCGCUCCCCACCCCGAAACUGACCCACGGCACAG
rnacentral:lncRNA from 1 species